rnacentral:misc_RNA from 1 species
CAAGGCUCAAGCUUCUCUGCUUGGUGUUGGGCGUCUGUCCUCUGCCCCCGCGCGGGACUCGCCCCAAAGACAUUGGCAGCCCAGGCCGUCCGACCCGCCCGCAGCACAUUGCGUUGGGGAGUCGAACGUCGGCCUCGGCGUCCAGCAACAAAGCUCUCAUCUCAG